CUCUAUGGCCAUACCACCCUGAACACACCCAAUCUCGUCUGAUCUCGGAAGCUAAGCAGGGUCAGGCCUGGUCAGUAACUGGACUGAAGAUGGAAGAAGGGAGGUCCGUGUUCC
rnacentral:rRNA from 1 species